rnacentral:misc_RNA from 1 species
AGCAGCCGCGGUAAUUCCAGCUCCAAUAGCGUAUAUUAAAGUUGUUGCAGUUAAAAAGCUCGUAGUUGAAUUUCGGGAUCAAAGGAUCGGUCAUGCCUUGGUAUGUACUGGUUUUAUUGGUUCUCACCUUCUAAAGAACCAUAAUGUCAUUCAUUUGAUGUUGUGGGGAAUUAGGACUGUUACCUUGAAAAAUUAGAGUGUUUAAAGCAGGCUUACGCUUGAAUACAUUAGCAUGGAAUAAUGAAAUAGGACAUCAGAUUCUAUUUUGUUGGUUUCUAGGAUCGAUGUAAUGAUUAAUAGGGAUAGUUGGGGGCAUUAGUAUUCAAUUGUCAGAGGUGAAAUUCUUGGAUUUAUUGAAGACUAACUACUGCGAAAGCAUUUGCCAAGGAUGUUUUCAUUAAUCAAGAACGAAAGUUAGGGGAUCGAAGACGAUCAGAUACCGUCGUAGUCUUAACCAUAAACUAUGCCGACUAGGGACCGGAUGAUGUUAAUUUUAUAAUGACUCAUUCGGCUACCG